GAACGAGCCUCCGAGAGAAGGAGGCCUCCGCUGGAGUGAUGUCAUGCCUUCCUCCCUGGUGCCGCGUCCAGAUUUUCUUCAUUAGCAGGAUUUAACAACUAAUGACGUGAUGAAGAAUUGUUCCUUGCGGAGGUGAAUGUCAUACAAUAAGAUCUACUCGGAGUAAAUGACAUAUGGAUACAUAACAAUCAAGAAGGUUUUAUUAAGCAGGAACCCGGAAUACUGUGACUCCGCCACUUCACUCGGCUUCCUCUACCUAAACAACGGAUUUAACAACUAAUGACGUGAUGAAGAAUUGUUCCUUGCGGAGGUGAAUGUCAUACAAUAAGAUCUACUCGGAGUAAAUGACAUAUGGAUACAUAACAAUCAAGAA